rnacentral:rRNA from 1 species
GACGAACGUUGGCGGCGUGCUUAAUACAUGCAAGUCAACUGAAGCAGUGGUAGCAAUAUCGCUGUGGAGGUGGCGCACGGGUGAGUAACACGUAGGUAAUCUGCCUUCAGGUCUGGCAUAACUCCGGGAAACCGGGGCUAAUAGCAGAUGAUGCAGCGGCUCGACAUCGAGACAGUUGUUAAAGCUAUGGCGCCUGAAGAUGAGCCUGCGUCUGAUUAGCUAGUUGGCGGGGUAACGGCCCACCAAGGCAACGAUCAGUAGCUGGUCUGAGAGGAUGAUCAGCCACACUGGAACUGAGACACGGUCCAGACUCCUACGGGAGGCAGCAGUAAGGAAUAUUGCUCAAUGGGAGAAAUCCUGAAGCAGCAACGCCGCGUGAGGGACGAAGGGCUUGUGCUUGUAAACCUCUGUAGUGAGAGAAAAAAAUCCCAAUCUUUGGGACAUGAUGGUAUCUCAAAAGUAAGCCCCGGCUAACUACGUG